UUCAGUUGGACCGUGUGUAUUCCAAUGUCAAGAAGCGAUAUCUGCAUUUCUUUCAAAUGUGCCGACAACUAAUCCUGACGCUAUGGGUAAUUUCUUCAUGGUCGGGUUUUGGAAACAGUGAGAGCUUUUGCACAAACAUCGGCAAUAUUGCAGAGAUUGCUACAGAUAGAAAUCUUUGGGUGCCCAACCCCCAGCAGUUGCGAAUGUCACCUGUGACAUUAUUGCAGUGUGUGCGGCGAUGCCUUGGCUGGACCCUAUGCAAGUCGAUUGAUUUUGAUAUUCCAAAAUUUCACUGUUUCCUAAACCAAAUGAACGUUUCUGAUGUAGGUCUGUCGCAUUUGAAAGUCAAACCAGGAUAUGUACACAGAACACGCCCUCAGACACUUCUACAACUGGCCGCAUUGCAGGAAGAGUGGGGAAGAAUUUUGACCAAUCCCAGUCUGUGCCAAGACUGUGUCGAGCAAUAAUUGCUUCCAAUGGUGGCCAUACAAAGUACUGACUUUGACGCCAUCAUGUGAACUCACGUAAACAGAAGCACAAUAAUACAGGCUGCUGUUGUGUUGGUGAACUCUUUGUCUAUAUACGUGUGAAUUGUCACCUUUUGACCAUUAAAAUUACAUGAAAUAAUUGCUCUUAAAUUAAAGCAGUAAAUUCUUCUAAACAUG